CUAAUCCCAGUUAAUAUUUUCCCAACGCUGUAUUGGGCGAAGUAAAGGCCGAUAAACUAGGAGGAAAAAUACGUAACCAAUGUUUUAAAAUCCUGUAUUUAGCCAACCAUUUCGGAUAGAAUCUCGUUGAUUUAAGAGACCUGGUCAAAAUGGAAAUGACUGGUGUGGUUAUAUUCAGUGUUCUGUUCUUCCUGGUGUCUGCGAAAUUGGAAGUGAAAGAAGAACCCUACACCGCUUUUUUCGGAGAGGACGUGCACCUCUCUGUUCCUUCUCUGAAGACCACAGAGGUGAUUUUCAAGCCCA